ACUAACCAUCCUGGCCAUUUUUAAGUGUACAGGUCGGUGGCAUUAUGUACAUUCACACUGUUGUGUGGUCAUCAGCACCAUCCAUUUCCAGAACCUGUCAUCAUGCCAAACUGAAACUCUGCACCCAUUAGACAAUAACUUCCCCGUUACUCUUUCCCCCAGCCCUAUUCUAGUAGAGCUCUAUUCUACUCUGCCUCCAUGAACUUGACUAUUUGAGGAACCUCAUCCAAAGGAAAUCACAGAGGAGGAGUUAAGAUGGCAGAGGAGUAGGGGACCUUAAUUUUUGUCUGGUCCCUGGAAUUCAGCUAGAUAGUUACCAAAUCUUUCUGAACACCUGCAAAAUCAACCAGAGAUCUGAGAAAAGAAUUGCUGCAAUUCUACAAACAGAAAAGUGACCACUUUUUGGAAGUUCCCUAUGAAACCUCCAUGUUGUUGAUGAGGAAGCAAAGAAAAUUUGCUCUAGAACUGGACUGCUUGUGAGAAUAUCCUUGUCUGGAAUCAGACUCCACCACAUUCUCUGGGGCCCAGUGAGAGGGGAAAGAAAUAAAAAAAGUAAUUUACUAACAACCCAGAUCAUGUCAUCAUAACCUCACAUUAAUAUAAUUACCCCCACAAUAAAGACAAAGCAUGAAAUUAGUCUGACAAAAAUUUAGCUUUUUGUAUGUUCAAACUUCAUUUUUAAGCUUAUUUUUAAAUUUUUAAAAAAGAUUUUAUUUAUUCAUGAGAGACACAGAGAGAAAG